UACGUAGGGUGCAAGCGUUGUCCGGAAUUAUUGGGCGUAAAGAGCUUGUAGGCGGUUUGUCGCGUCUGCUGUGAAAUUUCGGGGCUCAACCCGGAACUUGCAGUGGGUACGGGCAGACUAGAGUGUGGUAGGGGAGACUGGAAUUCCUGGUGUAGCGGUGAAAUGCGCAGAUAUCGGGAAGAACACCCGUGGCGAAGGCGGCUCUCUGGGACGGUACUGACGCUGAGACGCGAAAGCGUGGGGAGCGAACAGG
rnacentral:rRNA from 1 species